rnacentral:rRNA from 1 species
AGUGAACGCUGGCGGUAGGCCUAACACAUGCAAGUCGAACGGCAGCACAGUAAGAGCUUGCUCUUACGGGUGGCGAGUGGCGGACGGGUGAGGAAUACAUCGGAAUCUAAUUUUUCGGGGGGGAUAACGUAGGGAAACUUACGCUAAUACCGCAUACGACCUACGGGUGAAAGCAGUGGAUCUUCGGACCUUGCGCGUUUGAAUGAGCCGAUGUCGGAUUAGCUAGUUGGCGGGGUAAAGGCCCACCAAGGCGACGAUCCGUAGCUGGUCUGAGAGGAUGAUCAGCCACACUGGAACUGAGACACGGUCCAGACUCCUACGGGAGGCAGCAGUGGGGAAUAUUGGGCAAUGGGCGCAAGCCUGAUCCAGCCAUACCGCGUGGGUGAAGAAGGCCUUCGGGUUGUAAAGCCCUUUUGUUGGGAAAGAAAAGCAGCAGGUUAAUACCCCGCUGUUCUGACGGUACCCAAUGAAUAAGCACCGGCUAACUUCGUG